UAGGGUUCUGGAGGAAUGAUAUAUUUGGGCAUUCAAACGACUGCCCCAGGUAGAAAUUUGUGUUAUAGCAGUGCAGUGCGUCAUGGGUUCUGCUUCACCCAAGACAUCUGAUGGCAAGCGAAUUACCAUACCACACGAAAUGCCAUGGGUUUAAUAGUGCGAUAUCUCGUGUAUUAGAUGCAGGCAGGCCUGUGGGGAAUUCCUGUCCAAGUGCAGGAAGAUCCAGCACGGGCACAAGGAGGAUGAGGAGGAUGCUAAUGCUGCAAGUCUCAGAUCAACCAGCUGAGCGCUAAGAGUUAUGACUCUGGCAAGCAUAAAAAGAUCCUGGACAAGCCCCCACUUGUGUUACGUCCACCCCACCAUGGUGGAGGCAAAGGCAGGAAGGAGACAGCAACACCGGACAACCACAAUCAAUGAAGGAGGAGGACAACAGGAAAGUUAAGAAUUAGGCAGGAUUUAUUGGUUGCUUGCCUUGAUAGUCAAGGCUAGCAACCAACAAGAUCAACCAAAUUAAGAAUUAUAAAUAGCUUCCUUCAUUCACAUAAUGGUACGAUCCUAGUCUGUCUUCACGUGGGAUUGGUUGUGUGGUGUGCCCAUCAAAAUAAAACAUAAAAUCCCACCCCUGUCAGCAUGGAUUCUCAGCAGGGCUGAAGAUUCUCACAUACCAAUGGGCCAUUAAUAAUUGACAUAUGAAAUUAUCUCGUGAGUCAGAUGUGGUGCACGAACCUUAAGUUUGACACCCCUAGUAUAAAUCAUCCACACCACACCUAUUCAUUAGGUGUUCUUUCUGUGGAACCGCAUAGCAUUUUUAUUCUUUGUUCCCCUGUCCCACAAAUUGAGACAAUGCUCCACCAUUUGACUGGUUCUGCUGGACAAACACUUUUCUCAAAUCUGGGUCUUAUACACAUAGAAAGGAAAACCUUUUAAUUACAGUGAAAGGAACA